AUUGAACGCUGGCGGCAGGCCUAACACAUGCAAGUCGAGCGAGAAAGGUCUUCGGACUGAGUACAGCGGCGGACGGGUGAGUAAUGCGCAGGAAUCUACCUGGUAGUGGGGGAUAACUCGGGGAAACUCGAACUAAUACCGCAUACGCCCUACGGGGAAAGCGGGGACCGUUCGGGCCUCGCGCUAUCAGAUGAGCCUGCGUAGGAUUAGCUUGUUGGUGAGGUAAAGGCUCACCAAGGCGACGAUCCUUAGCUGGUCUGAGAGGAUGAUCAGCCACACUGGAACUGAGACACGGUCCAGACUCCUACGGGAGGCAGCAGUGGGGAAUAUUGCGCAAUGGGCGAAAGCCUGACGCAGCCAUGCCGCGUGUGUAGAAGAAGGCCCUUGGGUUGUAAAGCACUUUCAAUUGGGAAGAAAGGUUAGCGUGUUAAUAGCACGUAGCUGUGACGUUACCUUUAGAAGAAGCACCGGCUAACUCCGU
rnacentral:rRNA from 1 species